CGGCGAGCCGCGGGCCGGAAACCGCGGCGGUGGGUGUAUCCCACCUGAAAGG
ncrna:unclassified sequences M23 RNA